rnacentral:rRNA from 1 species
CGUACAGGUCUCCGUAGGUGAACCUGCGGAGGGAUCAUUACACAAAUAUGAAGGCGGGCUGGAACCUCUCGGGGUUACAGCCUUGCUGAAUUAUUCACCCUUGUCUUUUGCGUACUUCUUGUUUCCUUGGUGGGUUCGCCCACCACUAGGACAAACAUAAACCUUUUGUAAUUGCAAUCAGCGUCAGUAACAAAUUAAUAAUUACAACUUUCAACAACGGAUCUCUUGGUUCUGGCAUCGAUGAAGAACACAGCGAAAUGCGAUAAGUAGUGUGAAUUGCAGAAUUCAGUGAAUCAUCGAAUCUUUGAACGCACAUUGCGCCCUUUGGUAUUCCAAAGGGCAUGCCUGUUCGAGCGUCAUUUGUACCCUCAAGCUUUGCUUGGUGUUGGGCGUCUUGUCUCUAGCUUUGCUGGAGACUCGCCUUAAAGUAAUUGGCAGCCGGCCUACUGGUUUCGGAGCGCAGCACAAGUCGCACUCUCUAUCAGCAAAGGUCUAGCAUCCAUUAAGCCUUUUUUUCAACUUUUGACCUCGGAUCAGGUAGGGAUACCCGCUGAACUUAAGCAUAUC